CACUGAUCUAUGUGCACAGACCGGCCUGUACCCGAUUUUAUAGAAGCCUAAUAAACUGGACGUUUUACUUUGGAAUUGUGCGCCAAUUUCCGUGGUCCCUUCUAAGGCCAACUACAGACCGGCGUCCCGGCUGUGUCUCCCUCGGCAUCUCGCGUUUGUUUGAAGGUUGAUUCACCACAUGGGUGGUACUCACAGAACUGACGUUGUGAACGAGCAGGACUGGAUCUUCCGGUUCGAUGGAAAGGGGAAAGUGGAAGUCACAGCUGGCGGCAUUUGAAAAGGAAAGGUCGUGCUGAAGAGUUAUUGGCGUACGUACACCCUGGGGGAUCCAGGGUGGUAUACCGCAUCGGAGGAAUGGGUCGUGGAGGAGCUGGUGUUUUAUACCGUUUUGUUAAAAGAAAAAAUUCGCUGUGGCCGAUCA